CAAGGACUAAGCCAUGCAAGUGUAAGUAUGAGUGAAUUGUACAACGAAACUGCGAAUGGCUCGGUAAAACAGCUAUAGUUUCUUCGAUGGUAAACUACUCGGAUAACCGUAGUAAUUCUAGAGCUAAUACGUGCCACAAAACGACGCAAGUCGUGGUAUAAAUUGGAGAUACAAACCAACGUUUGGUGAUUCACAAUUUCUUUUCUGAUUGCACUAUGUGCGACGCAUCGUUCAAAUUUCUGACCUAUCAACUUUGGAUGGUAAGGUAGUGUCUUACCAUGGUUGUGACGGGUAACGGACCGUGGGUGCGGGACUCCGGAGAGGGAGCCUGAGAAACGGCUACCACAUCC
rnacentral:rRNA from 1 species